rnacentral:rRNA from 1 species
CAGUAGCCGCGGGAAUACGUAGGUCCCGAGCGUUGUCCGGAUUUAUUGGGCGUAAAGCGAGCCCAGGCGGUUAGAUAAGUCUGAAGUUAAAGGCUGUGGCUUAACCAUAGUACGCUUUGGAAACUGUUUAACUUGAGUGCAAGAGGGGAGAGUGGAAUUCCAUGUGUAGCGGUGAAAUGCGUAGAUAUAUGGAGGAACACCGGUGGCGAAAGCGGCUCUCUGGCUUGUAACUGACGCUGAGGCUCGAAAGCGUGGGGAGCAAACAGGAUUAGAUACCCGAGUAGUCCCUGUCUCUUAUACA